AGCAGCCGCGGUAAUUCCAGCUCCAAUAGCGUAUAUUAAAGUUGUUGCAGUUAAAAAGCUCGUAGUUGAAUUUCGAGACCGGUCUACUGGUCGUGCUUUUGUACGUACUGGUAUAGUCGGUUUCUCUCUUCUGACGAACUAUAAUGCCAUUAAUUUGGUGUUUUAGGGAAUCAGGACUGUUACUUUGAAAAAAUUAGAGUGUUUAAAGCAGGCUCACGCUUGAAUACAUUAGCAUGGAAUAACGAAAUAGGACGUUUGAUUCUAUUUUGUUGGUUUCUAGGAUCGACGUAAUGAUUAAUAGGGAUAGUUGGGGGCAUUAGUAUUCAAUUGUCAGAGGUGAAAUUCUUGGAUUUAUUGAAGACUAACUACUGCGAAAGCAUUUGCCAAGGAUGUUUUCAUUAAUCAAGAACGAAAGUUAGGGGAUCGAAGACGAUCAGAUACCGUCGUAGUCUUAACCAUAAACUAUGCCGACUAGGGAUCGGAUGAUGUUAAUUUUUUAAUGACUCAUUCGGCGCCUUACG
rnacentral:rRNA from 1 species